ACCCUACCCACAGGUAGACACUAUACUAUACCCUACCCACAGGUAGACACUACACUACCCUACCCACAGGUAGACACUAUACUAUACCCUACCCACAGGUAGACACUAUACUAUACCCUACCCACAGGUAGACACUAUACUAUACCCUACCCACAGGUAGACACUAUACUAUACCCUCCCCACAGGUAGACACUACACUACCCUACCCACAGGUAGACACUAUACUAUACCCUACCCACAGGUAGACACUAUACUAUACCCUCCCCACAGGUAGACACUACACUACCCUACCCACAGGUAGACACUAUACUAUACCCUACCCACAGGUAGACACUACACUACCCUACCCACAGGUAGACACUAUACUAUACCCUACCCACAGGUAGACACUAUACUAUACCCUCCCCACAGGUAGACACUACACUACCCUACCCACAGGUAGACACUAUACUAUACCCUACCCACAGGUAGACACUAUACUAUACCCUCCCCACAGGUAGACACUACACUACCCUACCCACAGGUAGACACUAUACUAUACCCUCCCCACAGGUAGACACUACACUACCCUACCCACAGGUAGACACUAUACUAUACCCUACCCACAGGUAGACACUAUACUAUACCCUACCCACAGGUAGACACUAUACUAUACCCUCCCCACAGGUAGACACUAUACUAUACCCUCCCCACAGGUAGACACUACACUACCCUACCCACAGGUAGACACUAUACUAUACCCUACCCACAGGUAGACACUAUACUAUACCCUCCCCACAGGUAGACACUACACUACCCUACCCACAGGUAGACACUAUACUAUACCCUACCCACAGGUAGACACUAUACUAUACCCUACCCACAGGUAGACACUAUACUAUACCCUACCCACAGGUAGACACUAUACUAUACCCUACCCACAGGUAGACACUACACUACCCUACCCACAGGUAGACACUAUACUAUACCCUCCCCACAGGUAGACACUACACUACCCUACCCACAGGUAGACACUAUACUAUACCCUACCCACAGGUAGACACUACACUACCCUACCCACAGGUAGACACUAUACUAUACCCUACCCACAGGUAGACACUAUACUAUACCCUACCCACAGGUAGACACUAUACUAUACCCUACCCACAGGUAGACACUAUACUAUACCCUACCCACAGGUAGACACUAUACUAUACCCUACCCACAGGUAGACACUAUACUAUACCCUACCCACAGGUAGACACUAUACUAUACCCACAGGUAGACACUAUACUAUACCCACAGGUAGACACUAUACUAUACCCACAGGUAGACACUAUACUAUACCCACAGGUAGACACUAUACUAUACCCACAGGUAGACACUAUACUAUACCCACAGGUAGACACUAUACUAUACCCACAGGUAGACACUAUACUAUACCCACAGGUAGACACUAUACU